UACGUAGGGCGCAAGCGUUGUCCGGAAUUAUUGAGCGUAAAGAGCUCGUAGGCGGCUUGUCACGUCGGGUGUGAAAGCCCGGGGCUUAACCCCGGGUCUGCAUCCGAUACGGGCAGGCUAGAGUGUGGUAGGGGAGAUCGGAAUUCCUGGUGUAGCGGUGAAAUGCGCAGAUAUCAGGAGGAACACCGGUGGCGAAGGCGGAUCUCUGGGCCAUUACUGACGCUGAGGAGCGAAAGCGUGGGGAGCGAACAGG
rnacentral:rRNA from 1 species